rnacentral:rRNA from 1 species
GAUGAACGCUGGCGGCGUGCCUAAUACAUGCGAGUCGAGCGAACAGACGAGGAGCUUGCUCCUCUGACGUUAGCGGCGGACGGGUGAGUAACACGUGGAUAACCUACCUAUAAGACUGGGAUAACUUCGGGAAACCGGAGCUAAUACCGGAUAACAUGUUGAACCGCAUGGUUCAACAGUGAAAGACGGUUUUGCUGUCACUUAUAGAUGGAUCCGCGCCGCAUUAGCUAGUUGGUAAGGUAACGGCUUACCAAGGCAACGAUGCGUAGCCGACCUGAGAGGGUGAUCGGCCACACUGGAACUGAGACACGGUCCAGACUCCUACGGGAGGCAGCAGUAGGGAAUCUUCCGCAAUGGGCGAAAGCCUGACGGAGCAACGCCGCGUGAGUGAAGAAGGUCUUCGGAUCGUAAAACUCUGUUAUUAGGGAAGAACAAAUGUGUAAGUAACUAUGCACGUCUUGACGGUACCUAAUCAGAAAGCCACGGCUAACUACGUGC